UACGGAGGGUGCGAGCGUUGUCCGGAAUCACUGGGCGUAAAGGGCGCGUAGGCGGCCAGCACAAGUCAGUUGUGAAAUCUCCGGGCUUAACUCGGAAAGGUCAACUGAUACUGUGCGGCUAGAGUGCAGAAGGGGCAACUGGAAUUCUCGGUGUAGCGGUGAAAUGCGUAGAUAUCGAGAGGAACACCUGCGGCGAAGGCGGGUUGCUGGGCUGACACUGACGCUGAGACGCGAAAGCGUGGGGAGCAAACAGG
rnacentral:rRNA from 1 species